GAGGAAUAAGCAUCGGCUAACUCCGUGCCAGCAGCCGCGGUAAUACGGGGGAUGCAAGCGUUAUCCGGAAUCAUUGGGCGUAAAGCGCCUGUAGGUUGUUUAAUAAGUCUGUUGUUAAAGACUAGGGCUUAACCCUAGAAAAGCAAUGGAAACUACUAGACUAGAGUAUGGCAGGGGUAGAGGGAAUUUCUAGUGUAGCGGUGAAAUGCGUAGAUAUUAGAAAGAACACCAGUGGCGAAAGCGCUCUACUGGACCAUUACUGACACUCAGAGGCGAAAGCUAGGGUAGCAAAAGGGAUUAGAUACCCCUGUAGUCCUAGCCGUAAACGAUGGAUACUAGAUGUUGUGCAUAAUGUACAGUGUCCUAGCUAACGCGUUAAGUAUCCCGCCUGGGGAGUACGCUCGCAAGGGUGAAACUCAAAGGAAUUGACGGGGGCCCGCACAAGCGGUGGAGCAUGUGGUUUAAUUCGAUGCAACGCGAAGAACCUUACCAGGGCUUGACAUACUACAAAUCCUUUUUGAGAAAAAGGAGUGCCUUCGGGAAUGUAGAUACAGGUGGUGCAUGGCUGUCGUCAGCUCGUGUCGUGAGAUGUUGGGUUAAGUCCCGCAACGAGCGCAACCCUUAUUUUUAGUUACUAAUUCGUUAGGUUCUCUAGAAAGACUGCCGGUGACAAACCGGAGGAAGGUGAGGAUGACGUCAAGUCAGCAUGCCCCUUAUGCCCUGGGCUACACACGUGCUACAAUGGUUAAGACAAAGAGUCGCGAGCUUGUGAAAGUCAGCUAAUCUCAUAAACUUAGCCUAAGUUCAGAUUGUAGGCUGCAACUCGCCUACAUGAAG
rnacentral:rRNA from 1 species